rnacentral:piRNA from 1 species
GAGAUCUUACUUGCGUUGUCUUCAUAACA